GUUUGGUCUUAGCUGAUAUCUAUUUAGUUCAAAUGUAAAACUUGUAAUAAUGUCUUUAAUAACGAAAAUAUUUCCCCGAGAAGAAUCAUUCUUUAUGUUUUGGCAUAUCCCUUCUCUCCAGAAACCAGAUGUAAACACUGCAGUCCCUUUGUUCAUGGCUGGAUUUGUUUUGAAUUGUAAAUAUUCCACAAUAGUAGGAGUAAAGAUAUCCUGAUAAUUGUCAGAAAA
rnacentral:lncRNA from 1 species